rnacentral:rRNA from 1 species
GACGAACGCUGGCGGCGUGCUUAACACAUGCAAGUCGAACGGAAAGGCCCUGCUUUUGUGGGGUGCUCGAGUGGCGAACGGGUGAGUAACACGUGAGUAACCUGCCCUUGACUUUGGGAUAACUUCAGGAAACUGGGGCUAAUACCGGAUAGGAGCUCCUGCUGCAUGGGGGGGGUUGGAAAGUUUCGGCGGUUGGGGAUGGACUCGCGGCUUAUCAGCUUGUUGGUGGGGUAGUGGCUUACCAAGGCUUUGACGGGUAGCCGGCAUGAGAGGGUGACCGGCGACAUUGGGCCUGAGAUAGGGACCAGACUCCUACGGGAGGCAGAAGUGGGGAAUAUUGCACAAUGGGCGGAAGCCUGAUGCAGCAACGCUGCGUGCGGGAUGACGGCCUUCGGGUUGUAAACCGCAUUCGCCUGUGACGAAGCGUGAGUGACGGUAAUGGGUAAAGAAGCACCGGCUAACUACGUG